rnacentral:lncRNA from 10 species
CACAUCUUCUGAGCCUCAUGAUAUCUAUGUAAAUGAAUUUAGAAGCAAAUCAGCUCUGAGUCGAACCCUGGGAUGCCUGCUGAUCUAGCCAAAGAUCUUGCUUAUAGUAUUACAUGAGAUUUUUUAUUCUAUUUUUAUGCAGCAACAGAUACUUAAUCCGUUGACAUAAUAAAAUGAACAGCUAACCAAGAAAGAAGAGAUCUAGGAACACUAAGAUAAAAAAGAAAUGGAAUACAACUUUAUGGGAGUCAGCUGUGCAGCUUAUACCAAAUGCCAAGUAAUCAGAGAAAAUAUGCAGACCCUCCAAACCAAUGGCUCUCACCCAAGCAAGUGGCUUACCCUCAAGAACACUUACUCUUCCAUUUCCCACAAGCAGCACACAAUGUCCUGAGGAAAGUUGAUAAAAACUUUUAGAGGGAAAGUGUUGGGAGUCAGGAUAUUUCAGCUGCUUUCUUCCUUAUCUACUUCCUAAUUCCUUUCAGAAAGCAAAAUAACUAUCCAAAUAAUAUAAACUGGCACUACUUGAUAUCUAGUAUCUUGAUGCACAGGAAAGCAAAGGAUGUGGGGAUGUAGAUUUCAUUUACACUUGAUUGGAUCAAAUAAGUCAGGAUAGAUCUGUGUCCACUCAAAAAUAAAUAAACAAAAAGUAAGAAAAACUUAUACAAAAUUCGUAAUUUAAUUGAUGGAGAAAAAAACACAUGGAAAACUAAUAGGAAAAGUACAUUUUAGGAAAUGACAUACCAUGAAGCAGAAGAAAAUUGUAAGGGGUUCCUUCCCACACUUAAUAUGCAUUUUCAAAAUACGAAGAGAUAAUGUGUCAAAAGAAUGUAAUAGAAAAGAAAUUAGAACUGAGAAAAAAUAAGAAAAAGAAAAAAACAGAAAGAGGGAGAGUAAUCACAAAGAUGCAAAUAACACUAUGUGCCAGGCAAUGUUUAAUUAAUUUAUAUAUUAAUAGAUUUAAUUAUUAUGAUAACAUUAUGAGUUAGCUACGUUUAUAUCUCAAUUUUACUAAUGAAUAACCUGGUUAAGUAACUUGCCAAAGGUCACUAAACUAGUAAGUCUUAAAGCUGGGAUUUGAACCCAGGCAGCAGAGUUUCAGAAUCCAUACAUUUAACUAAUAUAUCAGUAAGGUUUGCAAAGUUAUGUUAUGCUGAUGAACAGCCUUAAAAACUCAGUGGAUGCAAAAACAAAAUCUCUCUCUCUCACUCUAGUUGUCCAAAAGCAAGUCAGUAGGGAGACCCAAGUUGUCGGAGUCAAUCAGGGAUGAAGACUGAGGAAAACUUCAUCUUGAUUUGUGUUUCCAUUAUCACCCACAGCAGGUUUAGGGAACAUUCAGUGUCCUGCACUGGCAAUGAAAAGAUUCUGUCCAGAAGUAACAUUUAGAGCAUAGGCUUCCAUUUCAUUGGCCAAAGCAAACCAUACUUACUUUUGAGAAGUGGAGGUGGAGAAACACAACCUCAUAACAUGUGUGAAAGAAAUAGGAAAACUGGCAUAUUUGUAAAUAAAUCUAACGACUUCCACAACUGUUCUGCUAUAGUGCCUUUCUUAUUACCUUGCCUUUCUCUGAAGCCACUACAGAAACAUCAAAAAGAAUUAUGGAAAAGGUCUUGAGUAUACAAAGAAUGUAGAAUAAAAGACUGUGAAAUAAAGUAUUGACAGAUAUCAUACAUUAGAUGGAAAAGAGAUCUAAAAUACAGAUGAAUUGCUUAUGGUAAACUUAUAAAAGAAAUCACAAAUUAUUGAAGAUUUUUUUUAAUCUAAAGGGAUACCUGAAUCUUUCAAUUUUAAGAUCUUUAAGAUCUUCUGUGUUUCAAGAGGAAUCAUGCAGACAGGUAUUUAAUUUUAUGAUAAUUGAGGAAAAAUAAAGAAAACAUAAGAAUCAGACACAAAAAGGAAUCAGCCUACCCUGGAGCUCCCCAGCUGUGUUAGAUGGCACAAAGCUCUGAAACUGUCCACAGAGUUUGGAGGGGAAACUGACUGAAGACACCCUUCCCCACCAGUGUGCAGACUGCAUUCAAAUGUGAAGGUAACCUGAAGGCAUUCUGAGGAUACAGAGACUCAAGAAGUGCUUUACUCAUGUGACAUCUCUAAAAAUUCUACUUAAAAAUGUAAUUCUAAGUAACUCAGCAAUGAUUUUAAAUUUAAAAAAUCAGGAGUGGGUAAGUGAUGAAGUAAAAUGACUGGUGAAUUACUUAAAUGCAUAAUUACAUUAAAUAACAACAAUACUUGAUUUUAAAAACCUGAAGAUAUGGAAAUAGAAGUGAAGGAGCCAAUUAGAAUAUGGUGAGGAGGCACUUAUUGGUUGAGUGGGAUCAAGAUGGCCUCUUAUACUGAAGUCAUCACUGUGGUG